AUUGAACGCUGGCGGCAUGCUUUACACAUGCAAGUCGAGCGGCAGCGCGGGGGCAACCCUGGCGGCGAGCGGCGAACGGGUGAGGAAUACAUCGGAACGUACCCCGGAGUGGGGGAUAACGCCGCGAAAGCGGCGCUAAUACCGCAUAUGCUCUGAGGAGGAAAGUGGGGGACCGCAAGGCCUCACGCUCUGGGAGCGGCCGAUGUCGGAUUAGCUAGUUGGUGGGGUAAUGGCUUACCAAGGCGACGAUCCGUAGCUGGUCUGAGAGGAUGAUAAGCCACACUGCGAAGGAGACACGGCGCAGACUCCGACGGGAGGCAGGAGGGGGGAAUUUUGGACAAUGGGGGCAACCCUGAGCCAGCCAUGCCGCGUGCGGGAAGAAGGCCUUCGGGUUGUAAACCGCUUUUAGUCGGGAAGAAAAGACCACUCUUAAUACGGGUGGUUCUUGACGGUACCGGCGGAAUAAGCACCGGCUAACUACGUGCCAGCCGCCGCAGUAACAC
rnacentral:rRNA from 1 species